UCCAGGUGGUCUCCCUGGGCUCUGUCCAGGUGGCAUUCUCUCCCGGGGCUCUGUCCAGGUGGCAUAGGGGAGCAUAGGGCUCUGCCCCGUGACGUACAGUCCCUUUCCACGACGUUGGAGAUGAAGCCAGGCCUUGUGUCUGCGCCUGCAUGUUCCUACAACUUCUCAGAGUCCUGUGGACGAUGACUGAGGAGACAAACCAUGCAGGAGACAUCU
rnacentral:snoRNA from 1 species